rnacentral:rRNA from 1 species
AUGAGGUGUGGAUAGCGGAGAAAUUCCAAUCGAACCCGGAGAUAGCUGGUUCUCCCCGAAAUAGCUUUAGGGCUAGCGUCGCAGCGAGAGAGCCGUGAAGGUAGAGCACUGAAUAUGCGAUGGCCGCAUCCCGCGGUACUGAGCAUAAUCAAACUCCGAAUGUCACGGUGUCAUCUGCGGCAGUCAGACGGCGAGUGAUAAGGUCCGUCGUCAAGAGGGAAACAGCCCAGACCAUCAGCUAAGGUCCCAAAGUGCAUGCUAAGUGGAAAAGGAAGUGGAGACGUGCAGACAACUAGGAGGUUGGCUCAGAAGCAGCCAUCCUUCAAAGAGUGCGUAACAGCUCACUAGUCGAAUGACUCUGCGCCGAUAAUUUACCGGGGCUAAGCAUGACACCGAAGCUAUGGACAGGAAUGUGGUAGGGGAGCAUUGCAUGCAGCGGAGAAGCAUGACCGAGAGGGCAUGUGGAGCGCAUGGAAGAGAGAAUGCCGGCGUGAGUAGCGGCACGUGGGUGAGAAUCCCACGCACCGAUGGCCCAAGGUCUCCAGAGGAAGGCUCGUCCUCUCUGGGAUAGUCGGGACCUAAGGCGAGGCCGAAAGGCGUAGCCGAUGGACGACGGGUGGAUAUUCCCGUACCCGAUGUGUGGCGAUGGAGUGACGGAGAAGGCUCAGGCAACCAGCUGCUGGAAUAGCUGGGGCAAGCGAGAUACCUGCGCACCAGGGAAAUCCGGUGCGCGCAGGGGGAAGGCGCGAAGCAUACGGAAAGCUGCGGCAAGUACGGAAAAGCUGAGAGCAGGCUUCCAGGAAAAGCUUCUAGCACAACACGCAUCGGCCCGUACCGAAAAUGGACACACAUGGGCAAGGAGAGAAUCCUGAGGUGAGCGAGAGAACUAUAGCUAAGGAACUCUGCAAAAUGACCCCGUAACUUAGGGAGAAGGGGUGCUCCAGAAAUGGAGCCGCAGUAAAACGGCCCAAGCGACUGUUUACCAAAAACACAGCUCUCUGCGAAGGCGCAAGCCGAAGUAUAGGGGGUGACGCCUGCCCGGUGCUGGAAGGUCAAGGGGAGCUGUCAGCGCAAGCGAAGCAGCGAGCCGAAGCCCCAGUAAACGGCGGCCGUAACUAUAACGGUCCUAAGGUAGCGAAAUUCCUUGUCGGGCAAGUUCCGACCCGCACGAAAGGCGUAACGAUUUGGGCGCUGUCUCAGCUGUAGACUCGGUGAAGUCUUAGUACCUGUGAAGAUGCAGGUUGCCCGCGACUAGACGGAAAGACCCCAUGGAGCUUCACUGCAGGUUGACAUUGGGCUUGGAUGCAUGAUGUACAGGAUAGGUGGGAGGCUGUGAGCCGUGCGCGCCAGCGUACGGGGAGCCGCUGUUGGGAUACCACCCUUCAUGCAUCUAGGUCCUAACCGGAGGCAACGGGCCACGGGACAGUGUCAGUCGGGCAGUUUGACUGGGGCGGUCGCCUCCCAAAGAGUAACGGAGGCGCCCAAAGAUACCCUCAGCAUGGAUGGAAACCAUGCAUAGAGUGCAAAGGCAUAAGGGUGUCUGACUGCGAGACAUACAGGUCGAGCAGGGACGAAAGUCGGGCUUAGUGAUCCGGCGGAUCCGAAUGGAAGGGCCGUCGCUCAACGGAUAAAAGCUACCCUGGGGAUAACAGGCUGAUCUCCCCCAAGAGUCCACAUCGACGGGGAGGUU